rnacentral:rRNA from 1 species
GACGAACGCUGGCGGCGUGCUUAACACAUGCAAGUCGAACGGAAAGGCCCUGCUUUUGUGGGGUGCUCGAGUGGCGAACGGGUGAGUAACCCGUGAGUAACCUGCCCUUGACUUUGGGAUAACUUCAGGAAACUGGGGCUAAUACCGGAUAGGAGCUCCUGCUGCAUGGUGGGGGUUGGAACGUUUCGGCGGUUGGGGAUGGACUCGCGGCUUAUCAGCUUGUUGGUGGGGUAGUGGCUUACCAAGGCUUUGACGGGUAGCCGGCCUGAGAGGGUGACCGGCCACAUGGGGACUGAGAUACGGCCCAGACUCCUACGGGAGGCAGCAGUGGGGAAUAUUGCACAAUGGGCGGAAGCCUGAUGCAGCAACGCCGCGUGCGGGAAGACGGCCUUCGGGUUGUAAACCGCUUUCGCCUGUGACGAAGCGUGAGUGACGGUAAUGGGUAAAGAAGCACCGGCUAACUACGUG